rnacentral:lncRNA from 1 species
CAGGGCCAAGAGAAGAGCCAAAAACCCUAACAACCAAAAAUCAUCAAAUUGAUAAGGAGAUCAAGGGAAAAAUCGAAUGCAUGGGUCUGGAUACUCUUUAAUCUAAGUGUAUUGAUCAUAAGGAACGUGUCAAGGAGAGCUCAAGCAUAGGAGGAUAACGGGUCAAGAUAAGGCAAGGUGACAAAUACACUUAUUGGAGUACUCAAGGUUAUGAAUGUCGGACUUUCAAAGUGUUGAUAUAAUAAUGAAACGGUUGAAUCUUGAAAGGAUAAUCGGAUUGAAGUAACUUAUGCGGUAAAUCCUCAAUUCAGGCGACUUGGAGAAUCGGAGCGAGCGCGUGUUCAUGUUAUGUCGUACCAAACGCUUCCGCUAGUUUGUCCAAAUGUUUUUGGUCCAAAAUUUGUUGUAAUGGUUUUUAGUAGUAUUUUGUUGAACGACUCGUAGAAUUGUAUCUAGUUUGAUUAUGAUUAAAACAGGGGUAUGUCCGUUUUACGGACGGGUCAUGCCCAAAUUUUGUUAAAAAUUAAUGCAUAUGUUAUU